UCGGCGCAUGCGUGAUGGCUCACGGAGGCGCUCCAUUGAGGAGAAUCUGGGGAGGGGGAGGAGCCGAGGCGUGAGGCGCCGCCGAAGGGGCGGGGCUAGGCUGCGGGGCGCCGUUCCCUCCCUCCGGCCAUGGCCACUGUGGAUACCGAGUUUUGCAGGUGAUGUGAUCUCCUGUCGUUCUUUAAGUCCUGCCCUGCUCUGCCUCCUCUUCUCAGUUACUCCUGAUGGCUGAUUUCCCCUCAGGAUCCCUGGCUCGUAAGUGAGGAGAGUUCUCUGCUGUGCUUGCCUGGGCCCAUUACUUUUAACACAUAAGCUGCUUCAGGAACUCUGCAUCAGUUUUACGGAGAAGGGGAGAGGCAGAUGUCUGGAGUUUACAGUGAACCCUCUGGAGAAAGCAGAAGGGUAAACCCAGGGCCACAUAUUUCACUCUGGUGUUAUGAAUCAUGAUACUGAAGGAGGACAGUAUUGGAAUCCUGAAACCAGACUCAGAUUUAUCUACCAACUUUAAUGUGCAAGCUCCUUAAUGCAAGAGCAGCUAUUUCUUCAAGAACGAUACAGGUGUUACUUAAUUGGUUUGCCUGGGGAUACAUCUCACCAUAACACAUUAUGAGCGUUAGAAAUUAUCUGUCCCUAACCUCCUUCAUUAUCCAUUGCAAACUAAAAGUCUGCUUUCCCUGCCUCUGCGCCUGGAGGAGCCCCCACUAGCUUGAUAUAUCUUAAUCUCAUUUUAUUUUCCAGAUCAUUUGAUUUCUCAGUGCUUCUGCAGUCCUUAAUGUUCUUGGGAAUCUUUGGAUCCAUCAAUCUUUAUCUCGGAGUCUUUGGUUUCCUUGUCAGGUCCUUAGCAACCUUGAAACAAAGUUCCCAAACUGUCUUUCAUAUAUAACCCAAACUGCUUAUGAUCUGGAAUCUUUCAGUAGUGUGUGUACAACUCUUGGUAAACCAAAUUCUGCCCCCUUUGUAGUAUGACACUGGUGAUCUCCUUUCUCCUAUCCCUCCUCUACUCUUGGAGAUUGGGAAUUAAAUGCCAAAUAUUUAGUAGAUCCACCUGUGUGUUUAGACGUCAAAGGGUAUUUCAGACAUCCCAGUAACUGGAUUAAUCACAAAAUAGAGAACCAAAUAUCUCAAAUAGUUUAAAAAAAAAAAAGUGAAUAAGCAAAUGAAACUGAAAGCAGCACCCUUCUACUCUGCAUUCAGCACCAAACCUUGUCCAAGUAACCUUCCUCCUACACAUAAUUUAGGUACAGAUUCUAGUCUUCUCUAAACUGAUGGAAAUCCAUUCGAACAGCAGUGACUUCAGUGGAGUUACUCUAGAUUUACACCAGAGCGAGGAGAUCAGUCUGGCCCUUCAUUUCUGUAUUGUUCUUUACUUUCUAAAUAGCAGUUAAAAUUAGUAAUAAUAGUGUCUGAAAUGACAAUAAUCUCUUAAGUAUUCCUUACAUCCUUUACACCCAGGGAGUUAGCUCUCCCAAGCUAUUUACCUCCAGAAGUUCUGCAGUUGUCUUGCAGGCUUUGUCCAAGAACACCUUGAAUGGGAAGGAAAAAUGAGAAAGUCCCCUGGUUUUUGAAGUUGUCAAUUAUGCUCUUGGCUAAGCUGAUUAUUUUAUUUAUUCCAAUAAUCCUCUCUUCCAGAAUAAAAGAAAAUUAAUUGUCUGCCUAUUUCUGGAGUGAUUUGUCCUUCAGACAGAGUUGCUUGGCAAAGUGCUUAAAAUCUGGGCUAAAAAGAUGGCCGAGUGUUUAAAAUCGGAGU